GCCCUUCCGAAAUGUGCAGUCACGCACACUGCACCCCCGGGAUUCAGACGCCCGCCCCCAGGCGUGGCGACAGAUCCCAAAGCAGCUACCACUCCGGCUCUCCAACCAGGGCACACAGAGAAUGAUGAUUAUUAUUACGAUAGAAACUGACUACCACUGUGUUGAAGAUCUUCAUCUCAAAUCACUUCUCAUUCUCAGUCUUCACUGUUUAGAGGGAUUGGGAGAACAUGGCAGACAGAUAGCAGCAGCUAUGGAGGCUCUCUGAAAGAAUCAGCUUGGAAUUCAGGAAUGGUGUGGAGUAAGGAGUCAUGAGCAGGUGGAGAUAUGCCCUGCUGACCCAAGAAUGAACUGGGCUGAGAGAAACCAACUUGGAGUGCAAUCCUGGUACUAUAACAGGAACAGAAAAGCCUCAGUGUGGAAACUGGAGCCCGCGGAAUUGGAAGCCGCGAUUUGGCUUUCCCGCCUCGCGGCGGCUGCGUCUACAUCGGCUCAGCAGGGAGAGAGACUCGCGGAAGCUCUGAGAACGGGAAUAGGCGAACGGAGUUGAAAACAGGAUGGGCGGGGAGCCAUGCAUCCACCUACAUUGAGUGAGGGAAAACUGGGUCUCUCCCACGGUCCAGGAGACUCCAACAGAGGACAUUCUGGGACUGGGCAGACUUGCGGGAACAGGGCACUGCGGUGACUUCAGCCACGUAUCCCCCUCUCAAGCGGGAUUGGUGAGAAGUGCCUAGCCUGCGUGACGCUGCUGGCGGAGACCCAAUAGGCUAGCACAACCCAGAUCCCAGAGCCUGAGGGUGACCCUGGAGGGGCAGGCCCCGCAUAGGCUGCCUGGUCUGCAACUUCCUGGUGUGCUGCGGUGGGUGGGAACACCUAGCUGGCGCAAUCCAAUCAGACUGUGGCCGACAAGGAAGGAAGCCAGGCCUCCUACAUACACUUGCAUAUAUAAGGAACAAAGAAUAUGGGAAGAGGGAGCAACAAGAAAGGCCCUUCGGCCCCCAAUCCUGAGAAACAGGCAAUAGUGGACACCGCACCAAUAGACAUAAAGUGCCAUCUAGAGAGUCUCAUAGAUCAGUUCAGGAAUGAAGUUAUUAAUGACCUGAAGCUAGAAAUAAGCAGAAUAGUUAGAGAAAUGCUAAGCACCACCCAAGAAAAAACAGAUGGUGGAAUGGAAGAUCAGAAAAAGAGGGGAGAAUUGUUUGAUGGAGAAAAUAGAGAAAGCAUAGAAUAUGUGAAGCAGGUUCAAAGAGACUACCAGGAAACUAAAAACUAUCGAAAACUGGCAUAACAGCUUGAAAGAAACUAAGGACAGACUAUCUGAACUGGAGAGCAGAUUUGUAAUAUGGGAGAAUGAAAUGAAAAACUUCUUAAAAGUAACAAAGAAACAAACAGCAAUAAUACAAAGACUAGAAGAUGAUAAGAGGAUCCAUAACUUAAGAAUUAAGAACAUAAAAGAAGAAGUAGGGACACAAACAAAUGAACUACAAAAGCUACUCACAGAAAUAACCCAGGAGAAUUUUCCUAAUUUAGCAAAAGGUAAAGAUACUCAGUUGUAUGAAGCAUACAGGACCCCAGCCACCUACAACCCAAACAGAGCAACACCCAGGCAUAUAAUAAUUAAAUUCCCAGAAAUUCAAUACAAGAACAGAAUAUUAAAAGCUGUCAGAGAUAAGAAACAGACCACUUACAAGGGAACACCCAUCAGAAUUACAGCAGAUUUCUCUGCACAAACCAUCAAAUCACGAAGAGUGUGGGGGGAAAUAAUGCAAGCUUUGAAAGAUAAUAAUCUCCAGCCAAGACUGAUAUAUCCUGCACAACUAUCCCUGGAAAUUGAUGGAAAAACAAGGUGCUUCCAGGAUAAAGAGGAACUAGGGGAAUAUGCAACCACCAAUUCAACUCUACAGAGAAUACUACAGGAUAUUCUAAAAAAGAAAAAUACAAAGAAUCCAGAAAUAGUGGCAGAGAGGCCACAAUGAAUGGAGCAGGAAACAAAAUGAAGAAGACAAACUGACAACCAAUGACAGAAAAA